GAUGAAGAACGUAGCGAAAUGCGAUAAGUAAUGUGAAUUGCAGAAUUCAGUGAAUCAUCGAAUCUUUGAACGCACAUUGUGCCCGCCAGUAUUCUGGCGGGCAUGCCUGUUCGAGCGUCAUUUCAACCAUCAAGCCCCCGGCUUGUGUUGGGGACCUGCGGCUGCCGCAGGCCCUGAAAAGCAGUGGCGGGCUCGCUGUCACACCGAGCGUAGUAGCUUACAUCUCGCUCUGGGCGUGCUGCGGGUUCCGGCCGUUAAACCACCUUCAUAACCCAAGGUUGACCUCGGAUCAGGUAGGAAGACCCGCUGAACUUAAGCAUAUCAAUAAGCGGAGGA
rnacentral:misc_RNA from 1 species